rnacentral:rRNA from 1 species
AGUGAACGCUGGCGGUAUGCCUAACACAUGCAAGUCGAACGGCAGCACAGUAAGAGCUUGCUCUUACGGGUGGCGAGUGGCGGACGGGUGAGGAAUACAUCGGAAUCUACUUUUUCGUGGGGGAUAACGGAGGGAAACUUACGCUAAUACCGCAUACGACCUACGGGUGAAAGCAGGGGAUCUUCGGACCUUGCGCGAUUGAAUGAGCCGAUGUCGGAUUAGCUAGUUGGCGGGGUAAAGGCCCACCAAGGCGACGAUCCGUAGCUGGUCUGAGAGGAUGAUCAGCCACACUGGAACUGAGACACGGUCCAGACUCCUACGGGAGGCAGCAGUGGGGAAUAUUGGACAAUGGGCGCAAGCCUGAUCCAGCAAUACCGCGUGGGUGAAGAAGGCCUUCGGGUUGUAAAGCCCUUUUGUUGGGAAAGAAAAGCAGCAGGUUAAUACCCCGCUGUUCUGACGGUACCCAAAGAAUAAGCACCGGCUAACUUCGUG